UUCAUCAACAUUCGAAGUGUGGAUCCAUCUUUGUUUUUGAUGAAUUUGGUACCCUCUUUGCUGGUUUAUGAGUAUGCGAUACUUCUAAAUAUGGGCUCCCUUCAAGUAAUAGCAAUGAAAGAUUGUGUACUUAUAUUUGAAUAUAAUUGUAAAGGAGGGCAAGCUCUUCUGGAGUCAUGCCCAGGUUGAACCCCAAGAACAGUAACGGAGGGCCAUCAAUGCCAUUUGAACUCGAGAUUUGGCUACAACUUGCUUAUAGUUGGAUGAGGUUUUCUGAAGAGAUAAAGGCGAUUCUUGGCACAAUAGUGAAGCACAAAUUCCUUUUGGUUUCAAAUGAAAAAACUAGGUUUUUUUUGUUCAAGUUCAUCAUGAGAAAAACAUGUAUUUUAUUUGCUUAUGUUUAAUUUUUAUUUGACUUGGUAACUUAGCAAGUAUGUUAAUUGGUACUUAGAACAUCUUUCUAUAUAGAUGCAAUAUAUAUUAUUAUCCUA